rnacentral:rRNA from 1 species
UACAGAGGGGGCAAGCGUUAUUCGGAUUCACUGGGCGUAAAGGGUGCGCAGGCGGCCAAGUGUGUGAGGCGUGAAAGCCUGGGGCUUAACUCCAGAAUUGCACCUCAAACUACAUGGCUAGAGCAUUGGAGAGGGUAGCAGAAUUCACGGUGUAGCAGUGAAAUGCGUAGAUAUCGUGAGGAAUACCAGAGGCGAAGGCGGCUACCUGGACAAUUGCUGACGCUCAGGCACGAAAGCGUGGGGAGCAAAAGGG